AGUGCUGCUAGCUCUCGCCUCAGUCCCGUUCCCGUUUGCCGCCUCCCUCCAAAGAGGAACGCAUUGCCUUUGGUACUUCAGUGUUUAAUUCCGUAGCAUUGACCAUAUGGGCAGUAGAAACCACUUCUGAAGGCAGUCUCCCACUUAGAAUAGUGACUGUUUCAUUAAUUAAUUUUACGAGGACUCACAGUGAACUUAACAGUGGUAGAAGAUGUCAUUAAUAAAGACCGGCAUAUCUUCAAAAAGCAGGAGCAGGCACUGUAUGAAUACAAGAUUAUAGUGUGUGUUUAGGAAGGGCUUCUAGAGACGUCAGAACAUUUUAUAGACUCGUUAAUUUUCAUAACAGGGUUCUUAGGUAACAGAAAAUUAUGCCCAUUUUUAAAACAAGGAAAUAUUUACCGAGAUCAGCAGAGUCAAAAAUAGGACUUCCUACUUUGCAAUUCCCAAUAGAAUGCUUCGUCGACUAAUUUGGCACAACUUGCCAAGUGUUGCUCUCUGACCCAUCAUAACAUUACUACUUUGUUUUCACCACUUCCCUUUGUUUAGCUUAUCCCUCCCUAGCUGGCAAAAUCAGGCUUUGCAUAUGUAAAUUGUGUGAUGUAAAUUCUGAUAUUUUGUUUGCUUCCAAAGAUAUGAUGGUAAUCAUUUGGUCAAAUAAGAAAUGUUUUGCCGAAGAGAAAAUUAUUUCGUUUUGAAGAAGGUAGG
rnacentral:lncRNA from 1 species